rnacentral:rRNA from 1 species
AAUUAAAUUGAAAGGCUGCAGUAUUUUGUCUGUGCGAWGGUAUCAUAAUNAUUAGAUUUAUAAUUUGAAUUCUWUAAUGAAUGGUUUUAUGAAAUAAAUACUUUUUUAAUUUAANUAAAUGAAUUUUUUUUUUUAGUUAAANAACUAAAAUUAAUUUAAGGGACNAGAAAACCCUAUUUAAUUUUAUAUUAAAAUAUAUUUAUAUUAAUUYAUAAAUUAAUUAUAAAUAUAAUAUAUAUUUUGUUGGGGCGAUAAUUAAAUUUAAUAAACUUUAAUUAAAUUUUCMUUUAUUUUUGUAUUUUUGANCUUUUUAUWUUGAUUAAAAAAAAAAAUUACCUUAGGGAUAACAGCAUAAUUUUACUAAAAAGUUCUUAUUUUUGGUAAUGUUUAUGACCUCSAUGUUGAAUUAAAUAACAUUAUUAUAUGAAGAUAUAUAAUAAAUAAGUCUGUUCGACUUUUAAUUAUUUCCAUGAUUUGAGUUCAAMCCGGUGUGAGCC